UCAAUUUAUUCCAGUUCCACAGGCCGUAGAAAAUCAUGGUGGUCAGGAGGAUGGCGAGGAAGCCCGCGAACCCAGAAAAGAUGGCACUGCUGUGGUCUUUAUGUCUGUGAGGAAAACCAAGGGCCAGCUGUAGGAGGCUGAGGAGGUUGGAGAAGGUGCUUUCAACAGGAAUUGGAGCCCGAGGACUUGGAAUGGGAGCUGAGUGCCGGAAAGCGGAGAUUCUCCGCCAAAGGGUGAGCAGACAAGAUUCAAACCCCUUCUCUCUCCUACCUGAAGAGCAGCAGUUUCAGUUCAAAGGUUCGGCAGGAAGACGUGGGGAUUCUUGACGCAGACGAAGGGCUUUGGAUGACCACAGGUGUAUUUGUUCUCCCUGUCACAGGUGCUGAAGGCCACUGUGGGUCCCCAGCCCUGCCUUCCUCGGCCUCACUUCCUCUUUCAAGUCAGUUUUCGUGUGUAUUUGCUUUCAAUCAGGCCCAGCCAUGAGGAUCUCGAGUUCUAAGACACAGAUCAGUCGUUCACGGUAGUGUUCCUGGGUCCAGCACGCAAAAAAAACUAUCACCCAACGAAUGUGCCGUGUCUGGAGGAUGGUCCAUGUAACGGAGGACGGCCUCUAUUACAGGGGACAUCAGAGAAACCAAAUGUUGGCUGACCCUGAACUCAGGGACCAGGUCUGUCCAAGAGCAGAGGUGGAUACACCUGGGUCUGAGUAUGAAGGCUCCGACUACUCGGACGGUUCAAGGGGCUCCCCUUGUUCAGACUGUGUGAGCAGAAGCCAAGCUUCUGAUGGCAAUUUGGCUUUUCCAAUAUGCGGACCACUUAAAUUCUCAUUGGAGGCGUCCAGUGGCCUUCUGGUUUUGACACCAGCCUCUGAGGAGAUGGCAGAGGCAGGCCGUUCCGAAGAGGCCACUCCCUUCUAUGUGUGUGUCUUCUGAGGACAAGGAUUAAUCCCACGUCAGCAGACGGGCAGGCCCAGGACACAGAAGCCACUCCCUUUCACGGCUAAAAGUAUUACAGUCCAAGGGUCUAGCAAGGUUGUUAUCGCUCAUGGCUUAGGUUCAUGUUGGCGACAAAUGAACAGAAAUGGCACCGCAAACUUAGGAACAUGUUGACGUGUUUUGUUUACAUCCGGGUUUCCAGAUUUAUCUGCCGGUAAAGGACGUGCCAUUUCCACCUUCCUUCAUGCUUGCAGUAACAUGAAGGCCAUGCCCUAAUGGAGCCAGGUCAGGGGCUGGUAACGAGUUCGCUGGUCCCCAAUGACUGAUCUUUGGAUUUGCCACAGAUCAAGUCAGGGGGUUGCCCAGCUGUGUGUGGGUAUACCUGGGAGGGGACCAGUGAGUCUUGGUGGAGAGCUUCCAACAAAGCCAGUGACCACAGGGAGAGCAUAUGGUGGCUGAGAAAGGCUCGCAAACCAUUAUUAAAGACCAUAUACCACAUACAAGGCCGUAAACCAUAUAUAAAGGCAGAGAAAUUGUGCUUUUCUAGAACUGGGGGCGGGGGAAAAAAUGGAAGAAAAGAGCAUACUCUUUCUUUUGUAUAGUAACUCAGGCCCAAGGAGCUGAGCUGGUUUUAUUCUUUAUUAAAACAAUACCUCGGGGUUGUUCGUCUCUGCCAGAGAGCUGCUUUGAAGCUCAUGCCUCUCCAGGCCUUACCACACACUGGGGUUAGGAGGUGAAAAUGAGAAAGACCCAUUUUGCAAAACAGAGGCACAGAUCUCAGGUCCAGCCGAGACAAGGUGAGAGUGAGGGGAGACACAGGGCCGAGCCUUAGAAAGGACUCAAGGUGUGUGUAUACAUGUCUGUGUGUUUUGCAUCCCUUUCUAGCAAAGGUAAUGAAUGGGGAGGGAAUCUGUAAUGGGAAAAAAAGAAACUGGGUUGUUUUGCGAAUGGUUUCUGUUAUCAGACAAGGCCUAGCCCCCUGUUAGUUAUUACUCGUUUUUUUUUUUUUCUCCCCUAGCCCGUUUUAAAGACCCGAAACAGGCAGGGCGCCUGUGCCUAUGGAGGGCAACCGGGACAGGCAGAGAAGUAGGGACAAGACUUCUCAUUACAGAAGCCGGCUUCAUUCAGGGCUGGCUCCUCCUUUCAGAAGCAGCCUGUUCAAACAGCCAGGAGAGUUUGGGCUGUCCUUCCCUAUCAUACGUUCCCUAAAGGACCCUGGGGAGCCGACAAAGUCCUUUCCUCUCUUUGAUGUUUCCAGAGAGAGCUGUGGAACUUGAUUGGGCGCCUGGAUGAAAGGCGCAGGGAGUUAGGAGUUCUGAAAUAAUGAAGCUCAGAGCCCAAGUGAGCUGCCAGGGAGCUGUUUUGGCCCAAACGUGGGGCCUAAUCAGUCAUGCUAGAGACUCACCGAACGGAACGGGACAAUUAGCAGAACAGAACAGAAACCUUGGGAAGGGAGGGACUGGAGAACCCCAGAGGCAAGGUAGGUAAAAAAGUGCUAAUAUCAGGGGAAUGAAUUUUUCCAAAGGGCAUUUCAUUAAAAAAAAAAAAAAAAAAAAAAAGGAUAAAGGCAAAGAAAAAAAGAAAGGACUGCCACAUCGGACUCUUAAUCCUUCCAAAUCUCCUUUCUCAAAAGCUCUAGCUUUGCAGCGCCACCAACCGUGGAUUCUGCCUGAAGCAAGGGGAGCAAAGCUCGUACCUUCGGCGCAGGGGCCUGGCAAGCGGGGCCACGAGUCACCAGAGGGACGUGCUGGCAGAGAAGCAUGUCAGGGUCCAGUGACAAGCUGAGCUCCGGGCUUGCAUGGAUGGGGUUCCUGAUGUGACGGUGGCAGGUUCCCCUUCCCACGGACCCCCGGUGACACGACCCCCCCCAGCGGACACGACACAUUGAGGACAGCGCAGUUACAGGUAGGCAUGGGUUUUUAUUUUCAGUGCACGGCAGUACUGAUUCUCAUCAGCAACAAGCUUUAUUGGUUCCAAAAAAUAUAUAUAUAUAUCCCUUUUUCUCCCCCGUCUUUUAAAACUCCUCUUCUUCCCGUCUCAGUGGACAGCAUAUUUGAAUUUCAGAUUUGCCGGUUUACGGCAUUUUUUUUUUCCUUUAAGAACCAUAUAAAUACAUGCAAAACGUUGUACAGAGAGCUUCAAUAAUAUCGGAACGCAAAUACAGAUCGGGUGCACUGUUCGGCUGAACUGCGAAUUAUGGUAACACACACUGGGGCGUACACUGCUGCUUGGCUGUCGCCAUGUUUGUUGAUGGCAUGCAGACCACACUAGUCAAUCUUUUGUUUUGUUUGGUUUUCUUUUUUAUACAAAAAUACCAGUGCUUGUUAUACUAAUUACUGAAAAAAAGAAGAACAGAAAAAGAGAGACGAAGAAACUCAAAGUUCCUAUCUGCGUGCUGAUCGGAAAAGAACAACGUAGAUAGAUUUGUUGGCACAUAUAUAUGGCAUAUUCACAUAUGGCAUAUAUACAUAUGGGGAGCAAAUCUGAACCAAAGGCCAGUUCGGUCACGGGGAGCUCACUUCCCUCCGUCUCUCCUUGUCAAGAGGAAAGGGGACAGCAGGCCUAACAGCAGGGCUGGGAAGGCAGAGCACUGGCACUGAGCUAAAUGGAAGGGCGUCUGGUCUAUUCUGAGGAAAAGGCUGGAAUGGCUUCAGAAUAGCAGGCAUUUACAAGUGCCUCAUCCCCACCGCUGCAGCGGGUGGUCCCUAGAUACGGAAAGUGAGGAAGUGUGCACUUUGUGAUGGUGUCCCAGGCUGCUUCAAUCGUUAGGCAAAAGAAAGCAGGAAAGAAAGGAGGUGAGGCAUUUAGAGGUUGCAGGACACAUGCGAGCUUGCCACACCCCCCCCCCCCCCCACCUCGGGUUUUCGGCAGCGAGGUCAACGCUCAGAUAUAACGGUGCAAACUCUCCCCUCUGACGCUCAAGUGGAAGAAGAAACCUAGACCCUAAAGAACCCACAAGUGUCAGAAGGAUUGCUCGGUGGUCUAACACCUUUAGGGAUGGGGGAGUCACUUCAGAGGGCACCUAUGGGAAGGACCUAGCCCCAAGAUUACCACCCGGGGUUAGAACCAGCCUUUGAUUUUUCCACUUAGAAAUCUAUCCCCCGUCUAAUAUAUUGCACACAACAUUUCUAGGGGAGGGGAAGUCCCAAAUCAGAUCCUUGCACAAAGACUCAUUAAGGGAAAACUCCUGGGACAACAGGAGGUGAAAGAACCAUAAAAAAUGCAACCCCCAAAUCAGAGCAUCCUUGCAGCCCGAGAGAUAUUCGUGUUGUGGGUACCACUCUGCCAGCUACCCAUCAAGAAACAAAAUCCAACCAAGGCCCCUGAUCUUAAUUCACCAGUCGCUGAAAAGCCUGGCACCCAUCUCCAUGGGGGACAUACCCUCAUUUUCUGCUGGUUAUCCCUUCUUGCUGGAUGCUUUCCUUCCCAUUCACAGUCUACUGCCCAUUUUUCUAGGUUCAUCUAGGAUAGUAAUUUCCCCUUCUCCCCAUCAGACCCUUUUCAGAUCUAAAGCACCAUAUUGGGGGAAAGCUUUAGUAACUUGUGCCAUAUUGACUCACUGCCAGUUGGAUCACUAAAACUGAAUAGAAAAAAAACUUAUAUAAAAAACAUAUGCACAUAAACACUUAAACUUACUCAAUUCCAUAUCAACAAAAUUUAUAUUAAAAAAGUCUAGAACCCAACAAAUUUUUUUUCCCCUAAGUAUAAAGAUGGCUGUUUGGAGAAAGGAAGUACGGUGCAUUGGUUUUCAAACCAAUUACAAAUAUACUAAGUCACCUGUCAUGUCAAACAGCUGGUUAUAUGCUCCUUCCACAGGGUAACAUGACAGCACUUAAUUUCGAAUCCUUUAAACAAAAUACAUAUGGCUGACUCAAAAAUAUCAGUUUCUGAUCUAAAGAAAACUAUAUUUUUUGCAUAAUAUUUCUCUAUUUUUUUUCUCUCCUACCACGGAAACUAGAAUACACACAAAAACCAUUGAGCUUAAACAAGUAGACACAAGCUCUCAAGAGUAACCUGUCAGGCACCAUGAGAGUCUUUUGGGAGCAGGAAUGGUAAAAUAGCCUCCAAAGUUUGUUAUUGGCUUGUUUUUCAAACUGAUCUGAGGUAAUAAAAGACUUGACAGAACGAAAUCUUCCAAUGUACUUAAUAAAUAUGUAUGUGCACACCUAACACCUUGGGUGAGCUGUUUUGUCCCCACAGGAGUAUUUAAGACAGAGAAAAGAUUGCUGAAGCACGUGACCCUUAUAAAACCCAAAUCAAAUUUGGUGGGUUGCGUAGGAAUGGGGAUGGGUGGGGGUAUUGUUUCCUUGCUCUUUCUACCUCGGACAGCUCAGAUGGAAGGGGUAAGGGAUGAGGGAUCUAGAAGAGAAGGCCAGAGAGCAUAGGUUCAGGCCACCUUACCGUCACAAGUGGACAUUUGGCAGUUCAUAAGAGCCUCGAGACCUACUCCCUACUCCCAUCACUCUUGAAAGAGGGGGACAGGCCUCAUUUAUUUAACGGGAACCGGUAGACAUGAGCUAAUAAUCCCUGCACAGAAGAGCUGAUGUCCACAUCAGCAGGGAUAAAAAUGAAGCUCCUGCAAACGUGGCUCCACCUUGUCCCAUUAAGGAACACUUAAAAAAAAAAAUCUCCUGGCAAAGUCCCCAACUCCUGAGAGGCAGGGAGGAAGGGGAUGCUUUGGGCAGUGUUCAGGGAGAGAAGGCACAGGGCUUUACAGUCGAGCACAUUCUGGGGAGGGCCUUGAGUGGGUCAUGUGGGAGAAAGGGAGAGAGGGAGGAGAGAAUUUCAGGGUGCGUCUUUUGCUCCUUCAAGUCAGCAAAAUGUCACUGGAGUCCACUUGGGAUGUGUAUUUUCAAAAGCAGAAUAUUUGAGAAAGGUUGGGACCUGUUCAGAGACCAGACGAGUUAGGGGCCACGAAAGAGCAGAACAAGAAAGAUGAAGGGUAUGUCAAAGCUGGUACUUGGGCACCUAACCUCAGAGUGUCUGGUUUUCUCGGACGAAGGGUUUCUCUGAUCCUGUUAGGAUGGCCCUUUGGCCUCUCCCAAGGCUUCUCAGUACUCACUUCCCCAACAAUCAGGUCCUGUCCUAGAAGGGCCUUGGCAGAAGGCCUUGAAAGCGGUAGUGGUCAACCCAAGGAGGAUUGCACAAGAGUUGGCUUUGAUGGUCUGUCUUGUCCUAGAACUGCCAGCUGUUGGUCCUCAAUAUCCAAGUCCACUUAGGAGGCAGGGCCGGUCUCAAUUAAUUCCUCUGCUACCACUUUGGGAAUAGGAGAACAAUCAGGCUUAUGGUAAAAAUUGCAUACCAAACACAUGAAAGCUUCAUGGUCAAGGCUGAGCUCCCUGGCACUUAGAAAUGAUACACACCUGACAAGAUGGCAGUUUAGAAGUGGAAGGUAACCUGACAACAACAGAAACACAUUCUUACCAGCUCUCAAUUGCUUCAAAAGGAUCUUAUUAGCAGAGAAACCUUUCCUCCUCUGAGACUAAGCCAAGGGUUCCACUGGGGCCAGAAGGGAGAAUGGCCAAAGUUGACUCAAUUCAGCCAUGUCCUUUCCAAUUUCUCAAUCAUCAUGACAAAAAAAAAAAAAAAAAAAAAAAGAAAGAAAA